AAUAGAUACCCAGGUAGUCCUAGCCGUAAACGAUACUCGCUAGGUGUCGGCCACGGUGCGACCGUUGUCGGUGCCGUAGGGAAGCCGUGAAGCGAGCCACCUGGGAAGUACGGCCGCAAGGCUGAAACUUAAAGGAAUUGGCGGGGGAGCACCACAACGGGUGGAGCUUGCGGUUUAAUUGGAUUCAACGCCGGAAAUCUUACCGGGACCGACAGCAAUAUGAAGGCCAGGCUGAAGACUUUGCCGGAUUAGCUGAGAGGUGGUGCAUGGCCGUCGUCAGUUCGUACUGUGAAGCAUCCUGUUAAGUCAGGCAACGAGCGAGACCCACGCCCACAGUUGCCAGCGUACUCUCUGGAGUGACGGGUACACUGUGGGGACCGCCGCUGCUAAAGCGGAGGAAGGAAUGGGGCAACGGUAGGUCAGUAUGCCCCGAAUAUCCCGGGCUACACGCGAGCUACAAUGGUUGGUACAAUGGGUAUCUACCCCGAAAGGGGACGGGAAUCUCCUAAAACCAAUCUUAGUUCGGAUUGAGGGCUGCAACUCGCCCUCA
rnacentral:rRNA from 1 species